rnacentral:lncRNA from 1 species
GGGAGAGAGAGGAAGGGAGAGAAGAAAGGAGAGAGAGAGAGAGAGAGAGAGAGAGAGAGAGAACAAUAGUCAGAGAAAAUUACACUGAUCACCAAAGAAAAGAUAAAUAAUCUUUGUAUUUGGCAUUGUGUUAUGUGAAUAAAAUGAACAUCACAAGGAUUUAAAAAAAAAAGAAACUGUCAACUGGGAAGAAUGAACAUCAUGUUAUCUCUUUUCUAAGCAUAUGAUAGCCAAUAUGUAUAGGGAACCAAUAGAAGUAUAAGAGACUAAGAGCCAUUCCCUAAGAGAUAAUUGGUCAACGAAUAUGAGCAAAAGAGUAGUAAAUGACUAAAUACUGUAAAAAUUUGCACCAGAUCAAAUUCCCCUAGUAAAUUGGCAAAGAUGACAAAAGUUAGGAGAAUUCAGUAUUGCAGUAGUUGUGUGAAGAGAUAGUCACACCGAGGAACUGGUGGGGGAUGUACAAAUUGGUGAUCCAUUGACAUCAUCUCUUCCUGACCUGAAACACAUCAUACCAACUGAGGAUAAUGUGACCUUCAAACUCUGGCAUGGCACAGAAAAAGGCAUUCCAUGUUGGUCUUUAGGAAUCUUCUCCCCAAGAAGAAAAAGGUAAUGAAUAAAUGUAAUAAAGAAUCAAGUCAGUAACUCAGAAGAUCUUCAAAGACCACCGGACUGCAGGGAUCAAUCAGGUCAGGUUUCAGAUUGCAUUUGGUGACCCAUGUCAACAAUCAUCUAUGUCCCUGAGGAAAACCUGAGACCUACAAUUCCUCGGGAUCUAUUCCAAGACCUGUUCAGAGUCCUGGUUCAUUUUGCUGAGAAGGAUAAAGAGAGGACAAGAGAGUGA